CCUUAUUAUACCAGUGAUAAGGAGAGUUUCACUGGCAUUCAGUUUGUUGAGCCGAACAUCCAGCUGCUGCCCACAGAACAACCUCAAGACCCUUCACCUGUUUUUCUGCCGCUCGAUGCUGGUGAGCUGAUCAGCGCUUGGUGUAAUAUUCAGUUCCUCUCUGCACAGGCCUCCAUCUCCCAGUUCAAGGACUCAGUCCAGAAGGAAACCUGCACUAAGGGACUCAAAGUAGAUAUCCUCAGUUUUGUUGAAGAUGUGGCAAUAACCAACCCAAACACAAGAAGUAUAGCUGUGGUGCUGGAAGAGAAAAUUGUGC